rnacentral:lncRNA from 1 species
UUUUUUUGUUUUUUUUUUUUUUGAGACGGAGUCUUGCUUUGUCACCCAGGCUGGGGUGCAGUGACGCAAUCUCGGCUCACUGCAACCUCCAGCUCCCGGAUUCAUGCUGUUCUCCUGCCUCAGUCUCCCGAGUAGCCAGGACUACAGGCGCCCGUCACCACACCCUGCUACUUUUUUGUAUUUUUUUUUUUAGUAGAGACGGAGUUUCACCGUGUUAGCCAGGAUGGUCUCGAUCUCCUGACCUCGUGAUCCACCCACCUCAGCCUCCCAAAGUGCUGGGAUUACAGGUGUGAGCCACAGCCUCCUGCCGGUAGUGUGUUAACUAUACAAAAAAAGACACUACACAGUUUAAAAACAAAUCUUACAAAGCCUUACAUUUCCAUUUUUUUCUUUAAAAGGAGUGAGUUGCAUACAGGGGGUUUAAAUGCCUUAUAGACAAGAAAAGAAACUGCGCUAGAAUCAACUUAUUCAUCAUCAUCUUCUUCAUCUUCCUCCUCCUCCUCCUCUUCAUCUUCCUCAUCUUCCUCCUCUUCCUUCUUUUUCUUGCUUUUUUUCAGCCUUGACAACUCCCUUUUUUGCUGCAUCAGGCUUUCCUUUAGCUUGAUAUGCAGCAAUAUCCUUUUCGUAUUUUUCCUUCAGCUUUGCAGCCUUCUUUUCAGAAGGCUGCUUUGCCAUCUGCAGCAGUGUCAUUCCACAUCUCUCCCAGUUUCUUUGCAACAUCACCAAUGGACAGGCCAGGAUGUUCUCCUCUGAUUUUUGGGUGAUACUCAGAGCAGAACAGGAAAAAGGUUGAAGGAGGCCUCUUGGGUGCAUUGCAAUCCUUGAACUUCUUUUUUGUCUCCCCUUUAGGAGGGAUGUAGGUUUUCAUUUCUCUUUCAUAAUGGGCAUUGUCCGCCUUUGCUGUAUCUUCAAAUUUUCCCUUCCCUUUAGCAGACAUGGUCUUCCACCUCUCUGAGCACUUCUUAGAAAACUCUGAGAAAUUGACUGAAGCAUCUGUGUGCUUCUUCUUAUGCUUCUCCAGACAAGCUUGCACAAAAAAUGCAUAUGAUGACAUUUUGCCUCUCGGUUUCUUAGGAUCUCCUUUGCCCAUGUUUAGUUAUUUCUCCUCAGCAAGGCAGAGAGUCGCCCAGUGCCCAUCCGGCUCUCACUUGCCCCGGUGCUGUCUCUGUGAAGCUCAAUGUACUGCAAUGACUGUGCAGCUUGGUUUUUCAGGCUGUUCUUUUGUUUGAAAGAAUGUAAUCGAGAAUCCACCCUAACUGCCUGCCUCACCAGUUUCUUCCUUUCUCCUCUCUCAUUCCCCCUCCUCAAGGGUGAAGGCCGUAACUGCUGUUAGGGAGGUGGGGAGAUGAUCCUUCUGGCUACUUUCUACUGGAGAGGGGGCUGUGUGGGGAACAGCUGGUAGGGUUCCUACUGAGGUCAGUAUAAGAGUCCUUGGAAGAAAGGUGCAUCCAUGUGUGAUUUCAUUUGCAUCACUAUUUGGAGCUCGAUAGCC